GCAAGAUUUAGUGAUUAACAUAAAUAUUAUUCUUUUGACAUAAAAAUAGAUGAAUAGUUGAAUACUUUACCAAAUUUCUACAUAAUCAAAAGGCACUAUGUCAUUAUUUCUUUUUUUUUUAAUGAAUGAAAAAGUAUGCCUUACAUUUCUGUGAUUUGAACCAAUGUUUUUUGUUUCCUAUUUCUUAUUUCCUUGGUCUUGCUUUAUGGUGCUUGUCUGUUGUUUCGCUAAGAAAUGUUCAAUAUUAUACCAGGCCAAUUCUUUUUGUUAACUUUCUACAGUUCAAUUAAAAAAAAAAAAAAAAAAACCUUAUUCUCCAGAGCUGGAGGGGGCAGCAGAGAGUUUAAUGCUGCUUGUUUAGAAAAACCAAAAAGAACCCAAAACAAUGAAUUCAUUGGGCAUGUUUAAAUGAUUAAAUUGUAGCUUCAACAACAACAACAAAUAGCAGUCUGUUUUUCAGGGAUGACUGUCCUGUCAACGUCCCCAAGACCUCCACAGCAGAAGUCUCCACAUGUGGAGGCUCUAUGGAGACAGAGGUGUGCGUCACUGAUGGGGAACAGGUGGCUUCCAGUCAGGGCAGUGAAGUUUUUAAUCCAACCCUUCAAAUGAGGAAGAUGAUUCAGCUUCAGACACCUGGAGAGAUGCUGCCAAGACCCAGACUGGCACCUGAAUCGGCCUUGACUACACCAGUAACACCAGCCACUUUUAAGAUCCGCUCACUACUCUUCGGGGCUGUAUACACUGAUGUAGUGGACAGUAAAACUGCAGAUUUACCCAGCCUGGCCUGUGCCAGUGACACAGAGGAGGAUGGAGGAACAGAGGAGUGACUCGGGUAACCAACAUAAGCUAACCUGAUGCAGGUAACACCUACUGCAAGAAUGCAUGGACUUUACAGCAUGAUGUAGCCUACAGUAAUUCAGUAGAUUAUAAAGACAACCUACAGUGUGUUAACACAGUUCUGCUGUUUAGAUUGUUUUAAGGUUAAUAUGUUUUGAAUUUGACGUUUUCCUUAAAUAUUGCUGUCAAGGCCAUU
rnacentral:lncRNA from 1 species